rnacentral:rRNA from 3 species
GGCUCUUGGGUCGUAAACCUCUUUUCUCAGGGAAGAACACAAUGACGGUACCUGAGGAAUAAGCAUCGGCUAACUCCGUGCCAGCAGCCGCGGUAAUACGGAGGAUGCAAGCGUUAUCCGGAAUGAUUGGGCGUAAAGCGUCCGCAGGUGGCUGUGUAAGUCUGCUGUUAAAGAGUCUAGCUCAACUAGAUAAGAGCAGUGGAAACUACACGGCUAGAGUACGUUCGGGGCAGAGGGAAUUCCUGGUGUAGCGGUGAAAUGCGUAGAGAUCAGGAAGAACACCAGUGGCGAAGGCGCUCUGCUAGGCCGUAACUGACACUGAGGGACGAAAGCUAGGGGAGCGAAUGGGAUUAGAUACCCCAGUAGUCCUAGCCGUAAACGAUGGAUACUAGGCGUGGCUUGUAUCGACCCGAGCCGUGCCGUAGCUAACGCGUUAAGUAUCCCGCCUGGGGAGUACGCCGGCAACGGUGAAACUCAAAGGAAUUGACGGGGGCCCGCACAAGCGGUGGAGUAUGUGGUUUAAUUCGAUGCAACGCGAAGAACCUUACCAAGGCUUGACAUGUCGCGAAUCCUGGUGAAAGCCGGGAGUGCCUUCGGGAGCGCGAACACAGGUGGUGCAUGGCUGUCGUCAGCUCGUGUCGUGAGAUGUUGGGUUAAGUCCCGCAACGAGCGCAACCCUCGUUUUUAGUUGCCAGCAUUAAGUUGGGCACUCUAGAGAGACUGCCGGUGACAAACCGGAGGAAGGUGGGGAUGACGUCAAGUCAGCAUGCCCCUUACGCCUUGGGCUACACACGUACUACAAUGCUCCGGACAGAGGGCAGCAAGCAUGCGAAUGCAAGCAAAUCCCGUAAACCGGAGCUCAGUUCAGAUCGCAGGCUGCAACUCGCCUGCGUGAAGGAGGAAUCGCUAGUAAU